UACAGAGGUCUCAAGCGUUGUUCGGAUUCAUUGGGCGUAAAGGGUGCGUAGGCGGCGCGGUAAGUCGGGUGUGAAAUCUCGGAGCUUAACUCCGAAACUGCAUUCGAUACUGCCGUGCUUGAGGACUGGAGAGGAGACUGGAAUUUACGGUGUAGCGGUGAAAUGCGUAGAUAUCGUAAGGAAGACCAGUGGCGAAGGCGGGGUCUCUGGACAGUUCCUGACGCUGAGGUGCGAAGGUCAGGGGAGCAAACGGG
rnacentral:rRNA from 1 species